rnacentral:rRNA from 1 species
UACGUAGGUGGCGAGCGUUGUCCGGAAUUACUGGGUGUAAAGCGCGUGUAGGCGGGAGGCCAAGUCUGUGGUGAAAUCGCUCGGCUUAACUGGGCGGGGUCCAUGGAAACUGGUCACCUGGAGGUCGGUAGAGGCAAGUGGAAUUCCCGGUGUAGUGGUGAAAUGCGUAGAGAUCGGGAGGAACACCAGUGGCGAAGGCGGCUUGCUGGGCCGGACCUGACGCUGAGGAGCGAAAGCAUGGGGAGCGAACAGG